CUGUCAUUCAGAGUGUUUAUGCACUUCUCGCCCCUUUUAAGGUGUGUGCUAACCAAGAGCCAGGUUCAUUUAUGCCCACCAGUUUUGCAGUUCUGGUAAGUAUGCAAUUUCAUUAAAUACUGAGCAAAUAGAAAAUGAGUGCCACAGAAGUGAAAAUUUUAUUCUUGUGAAAUAUAUCCUGAAAGUUUUGGGAAAAACAGAUGAAGGCGAAUCUCACACACACACAGAUCUGUCAAAUAAAUAAUGAGAAAUACCACUGUUCACAGCUGAGGGGAUUCAAACAUCUGGAGGGAUGCUGUACUCAGACUGACUGCAAGUAUCUCGGAGUCUUUGUUCCAUCUUAAAGAAAUCACGGUUGGAAAGGAUAAUGCAUGAAGAUCUGAUUGUUUUCCAGAACAGGAUGGAUAUCCAAACAAUAUUUCCCGACUGGGAAAAAGAAGUCUUGGCUUUACAUUGAAAGAUUGGCAACUUAAUGCAACAUCCUAACACCCUCCUGGAAAAUCACCCUCGGUCAUCACCUGCAAUCCUGUGGGGAGCGCGAAUCCAGGAAUCACCGGGAGCUCCUUCAACUAACUUCCUGGCAAAACUUCCUGGCAUGGCUGAGGGCUGGUACAUCAAGAACACUUGGCCAAUCAGAUCCUCUUUGUGAGAACUUUGAAUUUCAGGCCAUGCCAUGCAAAGGCAGAAAAGAAAAAGAACAUUCCAAAGAUGGCACAUACAAGGAGUGUCCUUCAGAGCUGCCUUCUGAGACCCUCUAGAGAUUCGUAGGUCCCGUAAGUUCCAAAUAGCACUGUUGUGAUCUACCUGUGAAGUGAAGUAAAAGUGUUAGUAGCUCAGUCAUGUCUGACUCUUUGCUACCCAAAGAGUGCUGGGAGCCAGCAUGGGGAAUCCCACCCGUGGCAAAGGUCAUGAGAAAGGGGGCCUGACAAAACGCAAAGGCGGGAUCAGGCCUCAGGGCCCCCCACCUUGGAUUUUCUCGAGCAUCUACCCCCAGAACCAAAAUCUGUCUGUUUUACUAUAUUAUGCCUUUCACCAACUCCUCUGACAUUAACAGGGGGCUAUCCCCCACCACCCUUUUCUGGAAAAAGUUAACUUAGAGCUCCAGCUAACUGUCUCCUGCAUAUAAAAGGAGUGUCUCAGCUCAAACCCCUCUGGUAGCUUUCUACCUUGCCUGACAGGUCUGUCCAGACCUUUUACAACUGUGCAUGUGAUUGCUCACAGCCUCCUGAAGGCAAGAGGCACAGGAAGCUUAAAACAUUCUAGGAAUGUAGGGGCUUCUGAGGAGUCAAAAUCAUUAGAAUAGGACUGAUUAAGGGUUUCAUUGUUGAGCCAAUACUUGCUGCUAAGUUUUCAUAUCUUUUUUGUUGUUGUUGUUGAUAUAGUUGGUAUAUAGAAAAAACAAGUAGCAACAUAGAUCUUUGAGCUAAGUACCUUCUUUGUUAUAACCCACUGCAGCUUUGUUCUACAGGGAUGUAACUUUAUUUAGUGCUUUAAGGGUGAUGCAGAUUAAAGAAAAACACUUCAGGGAAAUGAGAUUAACAUUCAUUAAGGAAGAGAGCCAUAAAGUGUUAACAGGCCUCUUGGCCAGAAGGUAAUGUAAAUCACCUGAGACCUUUUGUGUAUGGAAAGAUAUGCAGAAGGAAAGCCUGGUAUUGAUAAGGGUCAGGACUGCUGCCCCUGCAUGACUCUAUCUUUCAUUAUGUGAAACUUAGGGUAUAUAAGCACCUUUUGAAAUAAAGUUAUGGGGUUUUUGCACAAGCUUGGCCUCCCCCGUGUUGACUCUCUCU
ensembl:lncRNA